AUGCUUAGAAGAAUGUACCAAGGUGGUUCGUCGGUGAAGAAAGGGCCAAGGAUUGCUAUACGUGAGCAAGAUGUUGAAUUGCCGAGGGACGCGGAUGUACGAGCUUGUGAGUGGCCAUCUGAUGAUUUUAUGGUCAAAGCAGGCUUCAAGGAGGAAUUUGACGCGUAUGUGCGUAAUGCCGAGCUGGAGGACUUCUUACAAGAUAAGUGUCCUCAGUACUAUCAAUUGACUGAUUCCUUUGUUCGGAGGUUUGAAUAUAACUGUGCGCGUAAUUCUCCUAGUGUCAUGUUUGAUAUUUAUGAUACAUCUUAUACCAUGGAUUUAGAGGAUUUCACAACUGCUUGCAGACUCCUGUAG
rnacentral:rRNA from 1 species